ensembl:lncRNA
ACCCACAUUUCAGCAGACCACAACCUCUUGCUAAGAAAAGCACUGAAGAUGAAUUUCCACAAACACUGAUCAGAUUUCUGCUGCUGACUCUGGACCUGCCAUUGCCUGUCUUUGAUGUCGACCUUGCUCAACCAGACUCAGUGUGCUGCUCUGGAUAGAGUUAGUACAGCUUAUCUGUGAUUCAUUUGAGCUGCUUUCUCAAGAAACUGCUAAUAGCCUCUCUUAUAUAUCUAAGUUUUUUUUUUUUUUAAAUUUAAAAUGUGUCUUCUGUAUGUAUCUGUGUAUGGCCCACAGACAAAAAGGUAAAGCAACUUUGUGUUUGCUUUACAUUGGAGUGUGUGGAAUCAUACCUUGUUUUACCUGCUCCAACAUGUCAUACACACCUGCAGGGGAAGAGGUGAUGCAUAAACACACACACACACACACACACACACACACACACACACACACACACACACACACACACACACACACACACACACACACACACACACACACACACACACACACACACACACACACACACACACACAAUACUCCUUGUGCUCCACCCUGCCUUAAAAAAGUACCACAGGCAAAUAGUCAACUGACAGUUUAGUGACUGUUUUACAAGCAGUGGCAGGGAGUCAUUAGUGUGGUUUGUACACAUGCUGAUACACACACACACACACACACACACACACACACACACACGCACACACCUAGCGAAGAGGCUGUUUGGGAACAAGUUGAAACAGAUCACUCUUUCAUGCUGAACCAGGCAGCCUCUGUGUACCUUUGCUCCCCAGUGGUGUUUACCUCUUCUCCUUCCUGCUCUCUCUGCCACGUCAAAUGACUGCAUGGGUGCUUGGCUUGCUCCUCCGGUAGCCUCGUGGCCAGACAACUUGACUGUGGUCACUCGACUCUGGGUCUGAAGAGUCAGAUACAGCUGGCUGGAAGACUCCUGUCUAUUCACAUCUCUACUUUUUGCCACUGAUAUUUUUCCUUUGUCCGUUUACUGGAACUCGGCUGACACCUGGGAGAUAAACAGAUGUGGUCUGUGGAAACUGUCAGAUUGAAGACUCAUCCUUACCCAAUGGCUUAGGAAAUAUAUAAAGAGGGUCUGUCAGAGCUAUGGGAAUCUGAAGAGCAUUUGUGUAUUUCUUUAAGUUAUUCAGCUGAAAAUGAGUGGAUUUCUUUAUAGAGGAAGGCAUUGCGGUGCAGAUAAAGAGGUCAGGCUGAAGACCAUUGGACCUAUGAUGGAUUUUUCAUGUGAUGAAACAGACAAAGGCCCGCCGGUACAGAUGCACAGCCUCAGAGAGUUUGAACAGGUGAUAACUCCACUGUAGUGUAGCCAUACACUAAUCCCCUACUUGGUGGUGGUUCUUCCCAGAGAGUUCUUCGAGACAAUGGCCAAGAAUUUCAAACUAUUAGACCCCCGGCAGGGAGGGCCAAGUAUGACUGUUACAUCAAUUAACCAGACAGACUGGAACCUAUGUGUGUUGUGUCAGAUGGACACCACUGAACCUCUUCAUUGUCCAGCUGACUCCAAGCGAAGCACAGGAGGAUCUGGAUACCAGACUCUUGCAGACAACCUUCUCAGGUUCAGUGAGAUCAACUGCCUCCCAAAAUCUCUCGACAUGUCCCGCUUAGACGAUGGUGAGGGUAUUGAGUCCACCUUCCAGCACCACAGGGCUAAGUGGCAUGAUUCGUGCAGAUUACAAUACAACAAAACUCAAUUGACUCGGGCAGAGAAGAGGAAAACAACAACCAGUGGCGAUACCGAAGGCGUGACACCAAAGUUUACCCGUCAGAGUGUGGACCGCUCAGAGACACUGCUCGAAACGUGUUUCUUUUGUGACAAGCCAGCAGGUAACGAGUCUCUGCGCAAAGCUUCUACCUUUGACCUGGACAGACGGGUCAGGAAAUGUGCUCUGAAACUAGAAGACAAGUCACUUAUUGCUAAACUGAGUGCUGGAGAUAUGAUGGCGCAAGAUGCCCUGUACCAUGUGAAGUGUCUGGUUUCCCUCUAUAACAAAGCAAGGGACACAAAGAGAACUUUGGAUGACCAGGAUGAUAUCAAUGAUGGCAUAGCUCUCGGAGAACUGGUGUCCUACAUCGAUGAUGCCCGCAUAGGCUCUCAUGUGGCACCAGUGUUCAAGCUGGCAGAUCUAACAAGUUUGUACAGCAACCGGCUGAAACAGCUUGGAACAGUCUUGCCUGGACGUGUCCACUCGACCAAACUCAAGUACCGGAUCAUGGCAUAUUUUCUGGACAUGGAGGAGCACAAACCUGGCCAAGAUGUUCUGCUUGCUUUCAACAAGGACAUCGAAUCAGCCCUUCACAAGGCCUGUGAACACGAUGCUGAUAGUGAUGGUGUUCAUCUUGCUAGAGCCGCGAACAUAGUCCGAAGAGAUAUUUUGAAGAUGAAGACAGCUUUCAGUGGUUCAUUUGACGCCCUCCGUCAAGAACAAUCCGUGCCAAGUUCUCUCCUGGCACUAGUUGCUAUGAUCCUGAAUGGUCCUACGAUCCAAGAGCAGUCAGGCCACUCAUCUGCAUCAACACCGACUCUUACAAUCUCACAGCUCCUCAUGUUCAACAGCUACGCAUGCCGCCGACAGAGUACGAGUAUUGAGUCUAUCACGCACGGCCACAAUCGGGAGACCCCCUUGCCUGUGUACCUGGGAAUGCUGAUGCACACAAAGACUCGCAAACGAGACCUGGUUGACACUCUGUUCCACUUGGGUCUCUCCGUCUCCUAUGAUAGGGUGCUAAGCAUCUCCACGGACUUGGGGAACAAUAGCAGCUGGACGUCUGGACAUUGAUGAGCUCUGGGUUGCCUUUGGCACAGGAAAGAACUUCAGGUUCUUGGCCGCUCACGAGAUGGCUGUGGCACUGGGACCUAACAAGUGUCGAGGGUUGCCAUUCUUCCAUGCCCUCACUGGAUGUGACACCAUUUCAAGCUUCGGAGGCAGGGGGAAGAAAAAAGCAUGGGAAACCUGGAAAGCCUGUGAUGAGGUCACUGAUGUCACUGCAGCAUUCUGUGCCUUGGCUGCCUCGCCAACUCCUUCAGCCAUAGAUGACCACAUGGAUGCACUGGAGCGUUUUGUUGUUUUGCUCUAUGAUCGCACCAGUAGUCAGGAACAUGUCAAUGAGUGUCGCAAGCACCUGUUCACCCAGACUGGCAGAUCAAUAGAUGCUCUCCCCCCAACUCGAGAAGCCCUGAAACAGCACAUCAAGAGAGCUGCUUACCAAGCCGACUACUGUUGAGGCCAGAUGAUGGUGUCCACACCAGAGCUCCCAUCCCCCAGUGACUGGGGGUGGGUUCACACCGAUAAUGGCUGGGACAUAUACUGGACAACCCUCCCAGAGGCAACUGAGGCAUGUCGGCAACUUCUAAGGUGUGGCUGCAGAAAGGGAUGCAGAGGACAGUGCAAGUGUGCCAAGGCUGCACUCCAGUGCACAGCUCUAUGUCACUGUGGUGGGGAAUGUAUGAGAGAGUAGAACCAUGUGUUGGGACAAGAGAGAUCACAGAUGCUAAUUACAUGUAUGUUAACAUGUACACAUGCAUCUAUGCAUAUAGUAAAUUUUGUUACCUGGAUCUAGAGGUUCCACUGUAU